rnacentral:rRNA from 1 species
GAAGUUUAAAGGCGGCGUAAAGCUGUCGCUAAAAGGGAUGGGACCUGCGAUGCAUUAGCUAGUUGGUAAGGUAACGGCUUACCAAGGCGAUGAUGCAUAGCCCGAGUUGAGAGACUGAUCGGGCCACAUUGGGGACUGAGACACGGGCCCAAACUCCUACGGGAGGCAGCAGUAGGGAAUCUUCCACAAUGGACGAAAGUCUGAUGGAGCAAACGCCGCGUGAGUGAAGAAGGUUUUCGAUCGUAAAGCUCUGUUGUUGGUGAAGAAGGAUAGAGGUAGUAACUGGCCCUUUAUUUGACGGUAAUCAACCAGAAAGUCACGGGCUAACUACGUGCCAGCAGCCGCGGUAAAU